AGCUCUAUUCAAAAUACCCAAGAUUUGGAAGCAACCUAAGUGCAUAUCAGCAGACAAAUGGAUAAAGAAAAUGUGGUACAUAUACAAAAUGGAGUACUAUUCAGCUGUAAAAAAGAAUGAGAUCCUGUCAUUUGCAACAACAUGCAUGCAACUGGAGGUCGUUAUGCCUCUGCCUCUGAAUGUGAAGGGAAACUGGACCAGCUCAGUGUCAAGCCUGACUGCUCCUGACCACAGGAUAUGCCUGGUCCAGGAAAUGGCCACAUUUCCCCCCUCAGGACCUCUACUUGGAUGGGCUGCCUUGGAAAUAAGGAAGCUCAAACUGAGGCAGAAUCACAGCGAUUUGGAAAAUGGUCCAAUCAGCUAUAGUGGAAGAGCAGAAUCAUUGAAUAUAAAACAUGGAGAUGUCAGCAGCAGGGGCUGUGAGCUGAACAGCUUCACUGGGAAGAGGAUAUGGGUGAGAAGGUACAGCAAUGGGUACCUCCAUUAACAGUUACCAGAGUCAUGUUUUGAAAUCUCAAAUCUGAGCAUCUAUCCUCAAAUAGAGGCCUACAUGGCUUCCAGUUCCUCCAGGAGAAGGUCCAAAUCCCUUAAGAUGACUUUAAGGCCCUCAAGUGUUCCAGGCUCUGUACGUUCUUGUGCCACAACUAUGCCACAACAAAACAGUUUUUCCCCCAUUUCUACUUUGUUUUUCCAGCUGUAGAGUCAAAGCCUCAAGAAGGGGAAAGGGACGAAUGGACACCAGGUCAUGUGCCAGGUAGCUGGGAAAUGAAUACUUCUAUUUUCUAUUCUUUUUUUUUUUUUUUUUUUUUUGAGAUGGAGUCUCACACUGUUGCCCGGGCUGGAGUGCAAUGGCGCAAUCUCAGCUAACUGCAACCUCUGCCUCCCAGGUUCACAGAUUCUCCUGCCUCAGCCUCCCGAGUAGCCGGGAUUACAGGUGCGCACCACCACGUCUGGCUAAUUUUUUGUAUUUUUUAGUAGAGACGGGGUUUCCCUAUGUUGGCCAUACUGGUUUCAAACUCCUGACCUCGUGAUCCGCCUGCCUCGGCCUCCCAAAGUGCUGGGAUUACAGGUGUGAGCCACCGCACCUGGCCAAAUACUUCUAUUUUCAUCUCUUAGGAAAGCAUAUGAUGUAAAUCACUGUUCCCAUAUUCAAAUUUAAAUAAUGGCUUACCUUUCCGGGGAUGUUUGUAUUUGAAUGAAGCAGCAAGUUUUUGCCACACUGUAAUACUUUAACUUUACAGAUAUUUUGACUCCUUCUGUUUCUGAUUUGCUUUCAUAAAUGAAUAAAAAUACAUUAUUUUACAUCAAA
rnacentral:lncRNA from 1 species